AGAUACCCUGGUAGUCCACGCCCUAAACGAUGUCAACUGGUUGUUGGGGGAGUGAAAUCCCUUAGUAACGAAGCUAACGCGUGAAGUUGACCGCCUGGGGAGUACGGUCGCAAGAUUAAAACUCAAAGGAAUUGACGGGGACCCGCACAAGCGGUGGAUGAUGUGGAUUAAUUCGAUGCAACGCGAAAAACCUUACCUACCCUUGACAUGUCCAGAAUCCUGCAGAGAUGUGGGAGUGCCCGAAAGGGAAUUGGAACACAGGUGCUGCAUGGCUGUCGUCAGCUCGUGUCGUGAGAUGUUGGGUUAAGUCCCGCAACGAGCGCAACCCUUAUCAUUAGUUGCUACGCAAGGGCACUCUAAUGAGACUGCCGGUGACAAACCGGAGGAAGGUGGGGAUGACGUCAAGUCCUCAUGGCCCUUAUGGGUAGGGCUUCACACGUCAUACAAUGGUCGGUACAGAGGGUUGCCAAGCCGCGAGGUGGAGCCAAUCCCAGAAAGCCGAUCGAAGUCCGGAUUGUUCUCUGCAACUCGAGAGCAUGAAGUCGGAAUCGCUAGUAAUCGCGGAUCAGCAUGUCGCGGUGAAUACGUUCCCGGGUCUUGUACACACCGCCCGUCACACCAUGGGAGUGGAAUCUGGCAGAAGUAGGUAGCCUAACCGCAAGGGGGGCGCU
rnacentral:rRNA from 1 species